rnacentral:rRNA from 1 species
UGCAAGUCGAACGGUAACAGGUCUUCGGAUGCUGACGAGUGGCGAACGGGUGAGUAAUACAUCGGAACGUGCCCGAUCGUGGGGGAUAACGAGGCGAAAGCUUUGCUAAUACCGCAUACGAUCUACGGAUGAAAGCGGGGGAUCUUCGGACCUCGCGCGGACGGAGCGGCCGAUGGCAGAUUAGGUAGUUGGUGGGAUAAAAGCUUACCAAGCCGACGAUCUGUAGCUGGUCUGAGAGGAUGAUCAGCCACACUGGGACUGAGACACGGCCCAGACUCCUACGGGAGGCAGCAGUGGGGAAUUUUGGACAAUGGGCGAAAGCCUGAUCCAGCCAUGCCGCGUGCAGGAUGAAGGCCUUCGGGUUGUAAACUGCUUUUGUACGGAACGAAAAGCCUCUUUCUAAUAAAGAGGGGUCAUGACGGUACCGUAAGAAUAAGCACCGGCUAACUACGUGCCAGCAGCCGCGGUAAUACGUAGGGUGCAAGCGUUAA